rnacentral:rRNA from 1 species
GUGAGGAAUUUUCCGCAAUGGGCGAAAGCCUGACGGAGCAAUGCCGCGUGAAGGAUGAAGGCCUAUGGGUUGUAAACUUCUUUUCUCAGAAAAGAAUUAUGACGGUAUCUGAGGAAUAAGCAUCGGCUAACUCUGUGCCAGCAGCCGCGGUAAGACAGAGGAUGCAAGCGUUAUCCGGAAUGAUUGGGCGUAAAGCGUCUGUAGGUUGUUUAAAAAGUAUUCUGUCAAAGAUUAGGGCUUAACCCUAGAUAGGCAGAAUAAACUUUUAAGCUAGAGUUUGGUAGAGGGAGAGGGAAUUCCCGGUGGGGCGGUGAAAUGCGGAGAUAUCGGGAGGAACACCAAAGGCGAAGGCACUCUGCUGGGCCAAUACUAACACUGAGAGACGAAAGCGAGGGGAGCAAAUGGGAUUAGAUACCCUGGUAGUCC